AAUGAACGCUGGCGGCGUGCUUAACACAUGCAAGUCGAACGAGAAAGGGAUUGCUUGCAAUCCUGAGUAGAGUGGCGCACGGGUGAGUAACACGUAGAUAAUCUACCUUUGAGCCCGGGAUAACUAAUCGAAAGGUUAGCUAAUAACGGAUGAGGUUAGUAGACGAAAGUUUAUUGAUGAAAGAUUGCCUAUCCAUGGAAGCAAUUGUUUGGAGAUGAGUUUGCGGACCAUUAGUUAGUUGGUGGGGUAAAGGCCUACCAAGACGAUGAUGGUUAGGUGGACGUGGAGGGUGAUCAGCCACACUGGAACUGAAACACGGUCCAGACUCCUACGGGAGGGAGCAGUUAGGAAAUUUGCGUAAUGGGGGCAACCCUGACGCAGCAACGCCGCGUGAGUGGAGAAAGCCUUUGGGUCGUAAAGCUCUGUCAACCAGGAAGAAGUUAUGUGAGUCGAACAGGCUUAUGUAUUGACGGUACCGGUGAAGGAAGCAUCGGCUAACUCCGUGCCAGCCGCCGCUGUAAAAC
rnacentral:rRNA from 1 species